GACGAACGCUGGCGGCGUGCUUAACACAUGCAAGUCGAACGGUAAGGCCCUUCGGGGUACACGAGUGGCGAACGGGUGAGUAACACGUGGGUGAUCUACCCUGCACUUCGGGAUAAGCCUGGGAAACUGGGUCUAAUACCGGAUAGGACUCCGGACUGCAUGGUCUGGGGUGGAAAACUUUUGCGGUGUGGGAUGGGCCCGCGGCCUAUCAGCUUGUUGGUGGGGUGAUGGCCUACCAAGGCGACGACGGGUAGCCGGCCUGAGAGGGUGACCGGCCACACUGGGACUGAGAUACGGCCCAGACUCCUACGGGAGGCAGCAGUGGGGAAUAUUGGACAAUGGGCGAAAGCCUGAUCCAGCGACGCCGCGUGGACGAUGACGGCCUUCGGGUUGUAAAGUCCUUUUGGCAGGGAACAAUAAUUUGAGCGUACCUGCAGAAUAAGUGGUUGCUAACUCUGUGCCAGCCGCCGCGGUAA
rnacentral:rRNA from 1 species